rnacentral:rRNA from 1 species
UACGGAGGAUCCGAGCGUUAUCCGGAUUUAUUGGGUUUAAAGGGUGCGUAGGUGGAUUGGUAAGUCAGUGGUGAAAGUUUGCAGCUUAACUGUAAAAUUGCCGUUGAAACUGCCAGUCUUGAGUGCAAAUGAGGUAGGCGGAAUGCGUCGUGUAGCGGUGAAAUGCUUAGAUAUGACGCAGAACUCCGAUUGCGAAGGCAGCUUACUGGGAUGCAACUGACGCUGAGGCACGAAAGCGUGGGUAUCAAACAGGAUUAGA